rnacentral:rRNA from 1 species
UACGUAGGGUGCGAGCGUUGCCCGGAUUUAUUGGGCGUAAAGGGCGCGUAGGCGGCCACGCACGUCCGUUGUGAAAUCGCCCGGCUCAACUGGGCGGGGUCAGCGGAUACGGUGUGGCUCGAGCAAGCUAGGGGGCAAUGGAAUUCCCGGUGUAGUGGUGGAAUGCGUAGAUAUCGGGAGAAACACCAGUGGCGAAGGCGGUUGCCUGGAGCUUUGCUGACGCUGAGGCGCGAAAGCGUGGGGAGCGAUCCGG